CGGCCGGCGGAGAGGGCGGGGAGGAAGUUUGCUGCUCGCCGGCUUCCGUCCGCGGCGUGGUGCCGUGUCCCGUUACGUUCGCCGUAGCCAGACAUGGCGGAGUACUCCUGCGUCAAGUCCACCAAGCUUGUUCUCAAAGGGGCAAAGGAGAAGAGCAAGAAAAAGCACAAGAACAAGAAAAGGAAAAGGGAUGAAGAUGCAGAAGAGCAGCUCGAUAUCGUUGGAAAUUGGUGGGCUGUCAGUAAUUUCGGUGAAAUUACAGGAACUAUAGCUAUAGAAAUGGAUAAAGGAGCUUAUGUCCAUGCCCUUGAUAAUGGCUUGUUUACGCUUGGAGCACCACACAAAGAUGAUGAAGGCCCUAGUCCUCCUGAACAGUUUACUGCGGUGAAGUUGUCUGAUACAAGGAUUGCUCUGAAGUCUGGUUAUGGCAAAUACCUCGGUAUAAAUUCAGAUGGACUUGUUGUUGGACGUUCAGAUGCUAUAGGAUCAAGAGAGCAAUGGGAACCUGUCUUUCAAGAUAAAAAAAUGGCAUUACUAGCAGCAAACAGUCGUUUUAUUAGAUGCAAUGAAGAUGGAGACAUAGAAGCUAAAAGCAAAACCGCAGGGGAAGAAGAAAUGAUAAAGAUUCGAACUUGUGCUGAAAGAGAAACUAAGAAGAAAGAUGAUGUUCCGCAGGAAGACAAAGGAAAUGUUAAACAGUGUGAAAUCAACUAUGUCAAGAAAUUUCAAAGUUUCCAAGACAAAAAGCUGAAAGUAAGCAAAGAAGAUACAAAAGCCCUCAGAAAAGCCAGGAAAGAAGGCACUUUUCACGAAGCACUGCUUGACAGGCGAGCAAAAGUGAAAGCAGAUAGAUACUGCAAGUGACAACCAGUUGGUCCGUUUUCUUCUGCGUCUUUGAUGAUAUGGUCGUGUUGAAAACACAAGAAUUUAGAAAAUAAGGAGAUAGCCCAGGAAGAUUUAUGAUACCAAAAGAAGAAAAAUUCCAUGGGCUGCGCAAAUUGAUGAUGCAGCGUAAGGAUUCUUUAAUUCAUGUUUUCAGAAAAGCAAGUAAAAAUGGAGACCUUUCUCUGAAGAAGUCUUUUAAGCUUUUCAUACUUAGUUCUAUCCAGCCUGAGUACAGAGAUUUUGCCAAAGGACAUUCUUCUCUAAAGCACUGAAGUUUAUUGAAUUUAUACAUGCUAUUCAUUUGAUAUCUAUUCUACAAGAAUAAGCAUGUUCACUAAUUCCUGGCAUGAAUAUCUGUUUUGGAAUGAGUGCAUUUUCUUCCCUAUUUAGCCUGAGAAAUGAAAUAUGUCCCUUCUGGGGAGCUGGUUUGUGCAACUGUUAGGAUUGUUAUGCUUCUAACUUUCUCAUAUAUACAAGUUAUUGGAGACCUUCCUAUGACUCCAGCUGCUUCAUAAAAUUCUGUGUCUUAAUGCUGAUAGAAUACCGGAAUUACAGAGAAAUAAGUAAACUGCAAUUUACAAAUUAAAUCACAAAAUGAGAAUUCUUCUCUAAAUUUUCACAUGUACAGGAGACCCCUGAGUAGCUGUUUUUUGAACUUAAGUAUCUUCUGCAGAAUUCUUUUCCCCCAUAGGCAUCACUUAUCUAAUUGUUGUGUUUCAGACCACACUUAACAAAAAUGUAAUAGUAUCAGGCGACCACAUAAACUAAUCGAUCACUUUGCCUUUUUAUAAUGAAGAUAUUUAACUUAAUAAUGGUGAAGUGUUAACAUUUUAUUCCUAGUUCUAGUACAAAAUUGAGAUUACUCUUGAACAUGUAGCAGGAAUGACUGAAAAAUAUACUUAUUUCUUAUCAGUUUGUAUUAACUGCACACUCUUUCAAAGAAAGCAAUUGUUAGGAAUAUCAAAGUGUUUUCUAGUAAUACUGCAUUAAAACAUUGGUAAAAACUGUAAUCGGCAGAACUGAUCUUUCAUUGUAAUUUUGCAGGUAUUUCCAGAAUUUCGUUAAAAUUCCUGAACGUGUCAAUAACCUGGGUAUAAAAGUCUUGUCUGUUAUCACAUGUGAAUAUAUGGUUUGUAUUAAGGGUAUGGCUCCAAGAAAAAACGAAAGUAUAUAAAGUAGCUAUUGUCAAUGGUAGGCUAUCUGCUAAAUAGUUUGACAGAAUCAGAAUGUACAAUUACAUUGUCCAGAGAGAAAGCUGUCUGGCUCUUAGUAGUUUUGAGAGAAGAGAAAAGUUGGUGUAUCCAGAGAACUCUGUGUCAAAAGUAGCUACCCCUCAAUUUUCUAAGAGAGAGGAGAACAAGCAACGUCUUUCUUUUAAGAGUUGAAAGAGAGCCAUGUAGGCAUAGAGCAUGGUUAGCUCUUUACCAGUAGCAGAAAAGGUCAAACAGAUGAAGUUUAGAAGCUUUUGAAAAGCAGCGUCUGUCGAUAUGCUCUGUGAUUCCAUUUUUGUGAAUGGGAGAAGGCUUUGCUACCUUCUUCAUAGUGAGCAAAAGCUAUAAUAUGAGUUCUUGUAUUUACUAAAAAGAUAUGUUGCACCUGCCCAAGAGAUCUGCCAGAGCUGUGAAUACUGAAUUUUCAGGGAGAAGAUGGAAAGCUAGAAAUAAAGAGAUGAUUGCUGGUAAA